AUCAGAUAAGCUAUGCCAGAAGCACUCAUGAUGCAAACCUGUCAGAUUCUAACAAAUCUGCAAAUUCUGCU
rnacentral:ribozyme from 1 species